AGAGUUUGAUCCUGGCUCAGAAUCAACGCUGGCGGCGCGCUUAACACAUGCAAGUCGCACGAGAAAGUGGAGCAAUCCAUGAGUAAAGUGGCGUACGGGUGAGUAACACGUGGAUCAUCUGCCCUUUAGUGGGGAAUAACCCUGGGAAACCGGGGCUAAUACCGCAUAAGCCUGAGAAGGGAAAGCAGCAAUGCGCUGAAGGAGGAGUCCGCGGCCGAUUAGCUAGUUGGUAGGGUAAUGGCCUACCAAGGCAAUGAUCGGUAGCCGGCCUGAGAGGGCACACGGCCACACUGGCACUGAAACACGGGCCAGACUCCUACGGGAGGCAGCAGUGGGGAAUCUUGCACAAUGGAGGAAACUCUGAUGCAGCGACGCCGCGUGAGCGAUGAAGCCCUUCGGGGUGUAAAGCUCUUUCGACAGGAACGAUAAUGACGGUACCUGGAGAAGAAGCUGCGGCUAACUACGUGCCAGCAGCCGCGGUAAUACGUAGGCAGCAAGCGUUGUUCGGAAUUACUGGGCGUAAAGAGUGUGUAGGCGGUUCUCUAAGUUCGGUGUGAAAUCUCCCGGCUCAACUGGGAGGGUGCGCCGGAAACUGGAGGGCUUGAGUAUGGGAGAGGAAGGCGGAAUUCCUGGUGUAGCGGUGAAAUGCGUAGAUAUCAGGAGGAACACCUGCGGUGUAGACAGCUUUCUGGACCAUCACUGACGCUGAGACACGAAAGCGUGGGUAGCAAACAGGAUUAGAUACCCUAGUAGUCC
rnacentral:rRNA from 1 species